rnacentral:rRNA from 1 species
GUGAGAGCGGGAGCCCGGAGAUGGGCACUGAGACAAGGGCCCAGACCAUACGGGGCGCAGCAGUCGCGAAAACUUUGCAAUACACGAAAGUGUGACAGGGCUAUCCCGAGUGCCAUCCGCUGAGGAAGGCUUUUACCCAGUCUAGAAAGCUGGGAGAAUAAGGAGAGGGCAAGCCUGGUGUCAGCCGCCGCGGUAAUACCAGCUCUCCGAGUGGUGUGGAUGUUUAUUGGGCCUAAAGCAUCCGUAGCUGGCCAAGUUAGUCCCCUGUUAAAUCCACCGAAUUAAUCGUUGGAGUGCGGGGGAUACUGCUCGGCUAGGGGACGAGAGAGGCCGACGGUAUUUUCGGGGUAGGGGUGAAAUCCUAUAAUCCCGGGAAGACCACCAGUGGCGAAGGCUGUCGGCUAGAACGCGCCCGACGGUGAGGGAUGAAAGCUGGGGGAGCGAACCGGAUUAGAUACCCGGGUAGUCCCAGCUGUAAACGAUGCAGGCUAGGUGUUUGGGCGGCCACGGGCCGCUCUAGUGCCGCAGGGAAGCUGUUAAGCCUGCCGCCUGGGGAGUAC